rnacentral:rRNA from 1 species
CCCUUAGAUGUUCUGGGCCGCACGCGUGCUACACUGAGUGGAUCAGCGGGUCAGGUUGCGCGAAAGUGUUUCCUAAUCUUUAAAUCCGCUCGUGAUGGGGAUUGACGGUUGCAAUUUUCCGUCAUGAACGAGGAAUACCUUGUAAGCGCGGGUCAUCAUCCCGCGCUGAAUACGUCCCUGCCCUUUGUACACACCGCCCGUCGCUCCUACCGAUUGAGUGGUCCGGUGAGGCUUUGGGAUCUGAGCGGAAAGAGCGUUUCGCUGUUUCUGCUCGGAAAACUCAGUCGAACCUUAUCAUUUAGAGGAAGGAGGAGUCGUAACA